UGUAAAAUCAAAUAUUCCAAAUUAACUUUCCAUUAAAAAAAACCUAAUGGAAUAUUGUAAUCGAAUCAAAAUCUGUAGUCAAAAGUUUUAUAAAGAAAACAUGAAAGUUAACAGUUUUAAUUACUGUGGUUCAACUCUUUUUUUCUCCAAAAAUAGGACUGUCAUACAAAAAGUUAUUGAAUGAUGACGAAAAACAAAGAACAAAAUUAUUACAACAACCAUUUAAAGAGGAUAUGUACUUGUGUUCUGUAAUAUUAUUUGUGUAAACUACGGUACAUUUCCCAAUCAGUAGCUAUUGGCUAUUAUUAGAUUUUAAUUUUUACAACAGGUUUGAUGUGUAAUAAAUCUUAUUACACGUGUAAUAAUUCUUAUUACACGUGUAAUAAUUCUUAUUACACGUGUAAUAAUUCUUAUUAAACAGUCCAGUCAAUUGCAAAGUUUAAUGCUAGUUGAUAGAUAAUUUAAUCAUAUUUUUAUAGUGAUAGCGAUUAUUUUAAGCUGGGGGGAAUAAAAGAAGUAAUGAAAG
rnacentral:lncRNA from 1 species